rnacentral:rRNA from 1 species
AACGUAGGAGACAAACGUUAUCCGGAGUUACUGGGCGUAAAGGGCGUGUAGGUGGUUACGUAAGUCUGGCGUGAAAUUUCUCGGCUUAACCGAGGCAGGUCGUCGGAUACUGCGAGACUAGAGGACGGUAGAGGCGUGUGGAAUUUCGGGUGUAGCGGUGGAAUGCGUAGAUAUCCGAAAGAACACCGGUGGCGAAGGCGGUGGUCUGGGGCCUGAACUGACGCUGAGGAGCGAAAGCCAGGGGAGCAAAGCGGG